rnacentral:rRNA from 1 species
CCGGCGAUGUCCGAAUGGGGAAACCCAGUGCAAUUCGUUGCACUAUCGUUAACUGAAUACAUAGGUUAACGAGGCGAACCGGGGGAACUGAAACAUCUAAGUACCCCGAGGAAAAGAAAUCAACCGAGAUUCCCCCAGUAGCGGCGAGCGAACGGGGAGCAGCCCAGAGUCUGAAUCAGCUUGUGUGUUAGUGGAACGGUCUGGAAAGUCCGACGGUACAGGGUGAUAGUCCCGUACACCAAAAUGCACAGGUUGUGAACUCGAAGAGUAGGGCGGGACACGUGGUAUCCUGUCUGAAUAUGGGGGGACCAUCCUCCAAGGCUAAAUACUCCUGACUGACCGAUAGUGAACCAGUACCGUGAGGGAAAGGCGAAAAGAACCCCGGCGAGGGGAGUGAAAAAGAACCUGAAACCGUGUACGUACAAGCAGUGGGAGCACCUUCGGGUGUGACUGCGUACCUUUUGUAUAAUGGGUCAGCGACUUAUAUUCUGUAGCAAGGUUAACCGUAUAGGGGAGCCGCAGGGAAACCGAGUCUUAACUGGGCGUUAAGUUGCAGGGUAUAGACCCGAAACCCGGUGAUCUAGCCAUGGGCAGGUUGAAGGUUGGGUAACACUAACUGGAGGACCGAACCGACUAAUGUUGAAAAAUUAGCGGAUGACUUGUGGCUGGGGGUGAAAGGCCAAUCAAACCGGGAGAUAGCUGGUUCUCCCCGAAAGCUAUUUAGGUAGCGCCUCGUGAACUCAUCUUCGGGGGUAGAGCACUGUUUCGGCUAGGGGGUCAUCCCGACUUACCAACCCGAUGCAAACUACGAAUACCGAAGAAUGUUAUCACGGGAGACACACGGCGGGUGCUAACGUCCGUCGUGAAGAGGGAAACAACCCAGACCGCCAGCUAAGGUCCCAAAGUCAUGGUUAAGUGGGAAACGAUGUGGGAAGGCACAGACAGCCAGGAUGUUGGCUUAGAAGCAGCCAUCAUUUAAAGAAAGCGUAAUAGCUCACUGGUCGAGUCGGCCUGCGCGGAAGAUGUAACGGGGCUAAACCAUGCACCGAAGCUGCGGCAGCGACACUAUGUGUUGUUGGGUAGGGGAGCGUUCUGUAAGCCUGCGAAGGUGACCUGUGAGGGUUGCUGGAGGUAUCAGAAGUGCGAAUGCUGACAUAAGUAACGAUAAAGCGGGUGAAAAGCCCGCUCGCCGGAAGACCAAGGGUUCCUGUCCAACGUUAAUCGGGGCAGGGUGAGUCGACCCCUAAGGCGAGGCCGAAAGGCGUAGUCGAUGGGAAACAGGUUAAUAUUCCUGUACUUGGUGUUACUGCGAAGGGGGGACGGAGAAGGCUAUGUUAGCCGGGCGACGGUUGUCCCGGUUUAAGCAUGUAGGCUGAUUGUCCAGGCAAAUCCGGAUAAUCAAGGCUGAGGUGUGAUGACGAGGCACUACGGUGCUGAAGUAACAAAUGCCCUGCUUCCAGGAAAAGCCUCUAAGCAUCAGGUAACAUCAAAUCGUACCCCAAACCGACACAGGUGGUCAGGUAGAGAAUACCAAGGCGCUUGAGAGAACUCGGGUGAAGGAACUAGGCAAAAUGGUGCCGUAACUUCGGGAGAAGGCACGCUGGUGUGUAGGUGAAGUCCCUGCGGAUGGAGCUGAGACCAGUCGAAGAUACCAGCUGGCUGCAACUGUUUAUUAAAAACACAGCACUGUGCAAACACGAAAGUGGACGUAUACGGUGUGACGCCUGCCCGGUGCCGGAAGGUUAAUUGAUGGGGUUAUCCGUAAGGAGAAGCUCUUGAUCGAAGCCCCGGUAAACGGCGGCCGUAACUAUAACGGUCCUAAGGUAGCGAAAUUCCUUGUCGGGUAAGUUCCGACCUGCACGAAUGGCGUAAUGAUGGCCAGGCUGUCUCCACCCGAGACUCAGUGAAAUUGAACUCGCUGUGAAGAUGCAGUGUACCCGCGGCAAGACGGAAAGACCCCGUGAACCUUUACUAUAGCUUGACACUGAACAUUGAGCCUUGAUGUGUAGGAUAGGUGGGAGGCUUUGAAGCGUGGACGCCAGUCUGCGUGGAGCCAACCUUGAAAUACCACCCUUUAAUGUUUGAUGUUCUAACGUUGGCCCCUUACCGGGGUUGCGGACAGUGUCUGGUGGGUAGUUUGACUGGGGCGGUCUCCUCCCAAAGCGUAACGGAGGAGCACGAAGGUUAGCUAAUCCUGGUCGGACAUCAGGAGGUUAGUGCAAUGGCAUAAGCUAGCUUGACUGCGAGCGUGACGGCGCGAGCAGGUGCGAAAGCAGGUCAUAGUGAUCCGGUGGUUCUGAAUGGAAGGGCCAUCGCUCAACGGAUAAAAGGUACUCCGGGGAUAACAGGCUGAUACCGCCCAAGAGUUCAUAUCGACGGCGGUGUUUGGCACCUCGAUGUCGGCUCAUCACAUCCUGGGGCUGAAGUAGGUCCCAAGGGUAUGGCUGUUCGCCAUUUAAAGUGGUACGCGAGCUGGGUUUAGAACGUCGUGAGACAGUUCGGUCCCUAUCUGCCGUGGGCGCUGGAGAAUUGAGGGGGGCUGCUCCUAGUACGAGAGGACCGGAGUGGACGCAUCACUGGUGUUCGGGUUGUCAUGCCAAUGGCACUGCCCGGUAGCUAAAUGCGGAAGAGAUAAGUGCUGAAAGCAUCUAAGCACGAAACUUGCCCCGAGAUGAGUUCUCCCUGAGACUUUAAGUCUCCUGAAGGAACGUUAAAGACGAUGACGUUGAUAGGCCGGGUGUGUAAGCGCAGCGAUGCGUUGAGCUAACCGGUACUAAUGAACCGUGAGGCUUAACCUUACAACGCCGAAG